GGCUGGUCAGAUGGUAGUGGGCUAUCGAAACUUAACAUUAGUGUCACUAAAGUUGGUAUUCAACUCCCUACUGCUAAAUUUGACUGGCUUUAA
rnacentral:Y_RNA from 1 species